rnacentral:rRNA from 1 species
GUAGGGAAUCUUGCGCAAUGGACGAAAGUCUGACGCAGCGACGCCGCGUGAGCGAUGAAGGCCUUCGGGUCGUAAAGCUCUGUGGGGAGAGACGAAUAAGGUACCGCUAAUACCGGUAUCGAUGACGGUAUCUCCUUAGCAAGCACCGGCUAACUCUGUGCCAGCAGCCGCGGUAAGACAGAGGGUGCAAACGUUGUUCGGAAUUACUGGGCGUAAAGCGCGCGUAGGCAGCAGCGUGUGUCGGGCGUGAAAUCCCACGGCUCAACCGUGGAAGUGCACUCGAAACUGCGCAGCUAGAGUCUCGGAGAGGAAGGCGGAAUGCUUGGUGUAGAGGUGAAAUUCGUAGAUAUCAAGCGGAACACCGGUGGCGAAGGCGGCCUUCUGGACGAUGACUGACGCUGAAGCGCGAAAGCGUGGGGAGCAAACAGGAUUAGAAACCCUAGUAGUCC